CUACGUGCCAGCAGCCGCGGUAAUACGUAGGGUGCAAGCGUUAAUCGGAAUUACUGGGCGUAAAGAGUGCGCAGGCGGUUUUGCAAGACCGAUGUGAAAUCCCCGGGCUUAACCUGGGAACUGCAUUGGUGACUGCAAGGCUAGAGUGUGUCAGAGGGAGGUGGAAUUCCGCAUGUAGCAGUGAAAUGCGUAGAUAUGCGGAGGAACACCGAUGGCGAAGGCAGCCUCCUGGGAUAACACUGACGCUCAUGCACGAAAGCGUGGGGAGCAAACAGGAUUAGAUACCCUGGUAGUCCACGCCCUAAACGAUGUCUACUAGUUGUCGGGGAUUAAUUUCCUUGGUAACGCAGCUAACGCGUGAAGUAGACCGCCUGGGGAGUACGGUCGCAAGAUUAAAACUCAAAGGAAUUGACGGGGACCCGCACAAGCGGUGGAGCAUGUGGUUUAAUUCGAUGCAACGCGAAGAACCUUACCUACUCUUGACAUCCAGAGAACAUUC
rnacentral:rRNA from 1 species